rnacentral:rRNA from 1 species
CCUACGGGAGGCAGCAGUGGGGAAUAUUGGGCAAUGGGCGAAAGCCUGACCCAGCAACGCCGCGUGAAGGAAGAAGGCUUUCGGGUUGUAAACUUCUUUUGACAGGGAAGAGCAGAAGACGGUACCUGUCGAAUAAGCCACGGCUAACUACGUGCCAGCAGCCGCGGUAAUACGUAGGUGGCAAGCGUUGUCCGGAUUUACUGGGUGUAAAGGGCGUGUAGCCGGGCUGACAAGUCAGAUGUGAAAUCCGGGGGCUAAACCCCCGAACUGCAUUGGAAACUGUUGGUCUUGAGUUUGGGAGGGCCGGGCGAAUUUCCAGGGGUGGCGGUGAAAG